rnacentral:rRNA from 1 species
CAGUAGCCGCGGUAACACGAAGGGUGCAAGCGUUACUCGGAAUUACUGGGCGUAAAGCGUGCGUAGGUGGUGGUUUAAGUCCGUUGUGAAAGCCCUGGGCUCAACCUGGGAAUGGCAGUGGAUACUGGCAAGCUAGAGUGUGUCAGAGGAUGGUGGAAUUCCCGGUGUAGCGGUGAAAUGCGUAGAGAUCGGGAGGAACAUCAGUGGCGGAGGCGGCCAUCUGGGACAACACUGACGCUGAGGCACGAAAGCGUGGGGAGCAAACAGGAUUAGAUACCCCCGUAGUCCCUGUCUCUUAUAC